rnacentral:rRNA from 1 species
AUGCAGAGGCUAAACAUUGCUCUUGAUGUGGCGGAGGCACUGGAAUAUCUUCAUCACUAUAUUGACCCUCCAAUUGUUCACUGUGAUGUUAAACCGAGUAAUAUUCUUCUUGAUGAUAACAUGGUUGCACAUCUUGGUGACUUCGGACUAGCAAAGAUAAUUACGGUAGAAGAAAGCAGGCAAUCACUCGCCAAUCAAAGUUGCUCAGCUGGAAUCAAAGGCACAAUUGGGUACCUUGCACCAGAGUAUGGCAUGGGGACUGAAAUAUCUGUGGGAGGGGACGUGUACAGCUAUGGUGUGCUAUUGUUGGAGAUGCUUACUGGGAGAAGGCCAACUGACCCAUGUUUCAAUGACACUAUAAAUCUACCAAAGUAUGUUGAGAUGGCCUGUCCGGGUAAUCUCUUGGAAACAAUGGACGUCAAUAUAAGAUGCAACCAAGAGCCUCAAGCGACUUUAGAAUUGUUCGCUGCUCCAGUUUCAAGACUUGGUUUAGCUUGCUGCAGAGGCUCUGCAAGACAGCGCAUAAAGAUGAGCGAUGUGGUAAGAGAAUUGGGUGCCAUAAAACGGCAAAUCAUGGCCAGCGAGAACUAUGCGUCUUGGGUGCAGUAA